CACAUUUACCAAACACCAUCAUCAAGGGUUGUGUAUCAGACUACAGUCCCAUACGAUCCAGAGGGUGUUUUAGGAAGCAUUAACUCCAUACUCAUGGCUUUCCUCGGCCUUCAGAACUCAGACGUGCGCUUCGGCUCAUCGUCCUGAUGUACAGUGAAGUCGUUCCAAUGGGCCGCAGUCCAGACGGAAUGUUGGUUGCAUAGAAACAGAAGGAACAUUAAUGUGAACUCGCUGUUUCCUCACUU